GUAUUAUAGUAACAAACUAACAAAGUUUUUAAUAAAUAAAUUAAAUAAUGAAUAGUUUUUUUAAGUUUUCAAUUUCGUAAUAAGUACAUUAUACAUUUUAUACAGGUAGACUAGUUAGUCAGUUAAUUACUUAGAUUUUAGACCACCUAUUGCGCAUGUUUCCCCAUGCUGUUACGACUUCGUCCAAAUCCAGCAAAUCAACAACAUCUCUGUUUAACGAAAUGCAUAAAAGAUCACUUAAUAGGCUUCGUAUUUGCAUCCCCAAUGAACAUCGAUUUGCUGCGUAAUAUGUUUAACUUGUUUGCUAGGAUAAAUUUUUCUGUGGAGUGAUUCUUACUCUUGUCUGAUCUUGUAGUGUAGUAGCGAACAGAGAAAGCAAGCUCUUCUCUCUUGCCCUUGUCUUUGCUUUCGUCGAUCAGUGCACUGAAGCACUCGGCAGUAGCGAUCUGAUGGCAUAUCUGGUUCCGUAUCUGAACCGCCAGUAUAGACAGCAUUUCAUUGAGAGACGUUGUACUAGUGUAGUCCACAAGAAGCCUUUUAAUUAUCUGUUAUCGCUUGGUGGAGACUUCGAAACUCCUUGUUGGUCUUCAGUUGCAUCUUUAUAAAAGUUCUCCAGUUACACGGGUUCUUCGAAUCAGCCGCCUCGUCAUGGUCCAGGAAUGUUAUUUCGUUCAUUGCAAACCAAAUUACAUACUGGAACAGAAGUUUAAAUUAAAGUACUCUCUGUUGUUUUGAGUUGCUUUCGCUUGGUCGGGAACCAGUUUCGCG